CCGUCUGGCGGACGCGGAGAAGAUUGCUUAGGCGAUGAGCCCUCCCGGGAAGGUCCCCCCUUUUCACAUCCCUUCGUCCCCAAACCGCGGUGUCUAAGAUGCCAGUUCCCGGUCCCCGCCAUUUCCCCACUCGUUCACAGUGUAGCCCCAGGAAGGGCGAUUGGGUUCAGUAUGCGGUCUAACCUCAUUUCAAGGAACACUUGGAUGGGGAAGAUGAAAUAAAUAAAACCAGCCAGCCCUGGAGGUGAACACUGCCUCACGAGCAACAAAGACAGCGGCCUCUCUCUGACCUCUUGGCUCCGAAUUCCAGCCAUCAACCGAGGCAAGCCGUUACUCAAUGGCCGGCCUACUUCCCCUAACUGCUUCUUGGUACAGACUUGAAGAGGAACCGCAGAAAGUGGCCAGAUGGACAGUGAAGUAGGCCAUAGGUGGCUUGAUUCCCGACACUGACCAGAAACAAAGUCCUGUGGUUCUCAGAAGGAUCAAAAUUGAAUAGAAAAAUAGUCGGAAGAGAUCCCCUAAGCAAGAGGCGAAGGGAAAUAUUAGUAAACCUGUCUAUAUAAAACACUUACUGGAGAGAUGGCUCAGCAGUUAAGAGCACUGGCUGGUCUUCCAAAGGACCUGGGUUCAAUUCCCAGCACCCACAUGGCAGCUUACAACAAUAAUUCCAGUUCCCGGGCGUCUGGAUACCCCUUCACAGACCCACAUGUAGAUAGAAUAUUAUUGUAAAUAGGAAUAAAUUUAUUUACAAAACACUUGAUAGACAUCGGGUGUAGAAUGCAAAGUUAGGUUUUUAUUACUGUGCCCAAGAACUCCGUGAAUCAAAAUGAUCUUUGUAACCGGUCAACUCCCUGCCCGAGGACAGAUACGCCACGAUUCUCUGGAAGCUGUUACCCGUAUCAGAUAGCAAGCCACAUGCGUUCACUUUUCUAGGGGAUCACAGGGAGUUGAGAGGUAGGUAGGAGGAAGUAUGUCAGGAUGUAUGCUUGCUUCCAUCUGACCAAGGCAUAGCCUGUGAGUUAGCCCUUUAUAAUCACCUGGCCAUUGUAGCUGGUGGCCAUUUUCUAGGAACCCUGGAGUGGACUGGCCAGAGUCCAUCAUCCUGGCUAGUAUUAAAGCUUGCUUCAAAUUUUGUUCAAAAAUUGUGGCAGUCAUCUUAUUCUUGACUGGUAGAAUCAAAA
rnacentral:lncRNA from 1 species